rnacentral:tRNA from 1 species
GGUGAUUUGGCCGAGUGGUUUAAGGCUUCAGUUUAAAAGUAAAUAAAUAUUUGUUGAAAACAAAAAAGAAACAAAAAAGAAACAAAAAGAAAAAUUGAAAUGAAUGCAUUUAUAAUUUGUGAAAUAGAACUGAAAAUUUCCAGAGGCAUCUGGAACUCGCAGGUUCGAAUCCUGCAAUCACCU